rnacentral:rRNA from 1 species
ACUCAAAUGAAUAGACGGGGGCCCGCACAAGCAGCGGAGCGUGUGGUUUAAUUCGAGGUUACGCGAAGAACCUUACCAGGGUUUGACAUGCAGGUAGUAGGGAUCCGAAAGGUGACCGACCCUUCGGGGAGCCUGCACAGGUGCUGCAUGGCUGUCGUCAGCUCGUGCCGUGAGGUGUCCGGUUAAGUCCGGUAACGAGCGCAACCCUUACUCUGUGUUACAUGUGUCACAGGGGACUGCCGGUAUCAAGCCGGAGGAAGGUGGGGAUGACGUCAAGUCCGCAUGGCCUUUAUGCCCUGGGCUACACACACGCUACAAUGGCCGGUACAAUGGGUCGCAAAGCCGCGAGGCGGAGCCAAUCCACAAAGCCGGUCUCAGUUCGGAUCGUAGGCUGCAACCCGCCUACGUGAAGUCGGAGUUGCUAGUAACCGCAGGUCAGCACUACUGCGGUGAAUACGUUCCCGGGCCUUGUACACACCGCCCGU